rnacentral:lncRNA from 1 species
ACCAGAGGCCGCCCGAGUCCCGGCUCGCUCCCCUCCUUGCGCCCUUCGCCGGGGCGGGCAGCCGGGCGGCCGCCGAGGGACAUCUCGCGGCUACACCCGCAGAGGGAAGUUCUCCCAGGCAGCCGGCGGAGCCGCAGGGGACUACGGAAAGGAGGAUGCAACGAGCCUGGGUCCCUCCGAGCUGAGUAGGGCCCGGAGUGGCCCAGAAGCGCUCGACUCCGAACGCAAAAAAUGCCUCCCGCAAACUUUUCCCGUGGGCGCCGGAGGGCCUGGAGCUGGCGGAGAGGAGGGCGCGAGUCCAGGCGGGGUCGGCCUGAAGGCAGCUGGGGUCUGGGCUUCGAGGGAAGGAACCGCAGCCGAGGCGGUGCCGGCCGCAGAAGGCUGAGAUGCUGUUUCUAACAAACCUCCCGAUGCUGCUGAUGCUGCAUAUCUGAAGACCACACUUUGAGAAGCAAGGAUCUAGGAGUUGUUUGUUAUUCAUGGAAUAAAUAUAUUUCCCAUCAUG